rnacentral:lncRNA from 1 species
CUUAAGUUUAAGAGCGCAGAGAAGUUAUUUUUGUGAUCCCAUUGCAAGUGUUUAUCAAGACCUGUGGGCUAGCAGUUGUUUGACUGCUGUGGUACCAAGGUGGAUUAUCUGUCCAGACAGCACCAGGCACAGAGUGCCCUCCUUGUUGCUGCUUGGCCCAAGGUCAGCUCGGCACCAGGAGCAGGACCACAGGAGGAGAAGAGCUGUGGGGAAAGGCUGAACUUCAGGCUGGUGUGUGGUGAAACCUCCCAGGAGAAUGAGUUGUGGCAUUUUGCUGCUGCUGCAGACAAGGGUGAAGUUCACGCCAGUGCAUGUCUCAGUGAAAGCCCAAGCUCCCUCCAGCGCGAGUGAGGGACCUGCAGAAAUCCCGUGUGUGGAGCAGAUGUCUGUGCACAUCAAACGUGUCCUGGGAAACCUCCGUGGUGCUGUGGCAUGGUUCCCGCCUGGCAGCGACAAGGUGUCAGGGAACUGUGCUGAACAAACUCUGUGCCACUUCAACUGCAAGGAAAAAACCUUCCCUCUGGGAUUCUUGAGGCAGGAGGCCUUGCUGAGACAGCUGAGAAACUUUAUUCUGUGGGGGGGAGCAGCAGUGUGAAAGCUCAGCAGAGACCGAGAUGGGUGAGGAUGCAGUGGCUCAGAGGGGGAGCAUCUGCAGGGCAGAGACCCCUGGCUCUGUGAGCACUGCAGACCCCUCUGUGCUGCUCUCUGCAGCAGGGUGGGCUCCUGCAGCACAGCAAAGGACUCCAGCUGCUGUUCCAGGGCAUGAUGCACACCGUGAUUUCCCUACAAGCUGUGAUCGUCUGAAUCACAACACAAUUAUUUUCCCUUUUUAUGUUUGUGGGGGUUUUAUUGUUUUUUUUUUAACUAAGUUUGUCGUUGCAGCAUUUUCCACAGAAGUGGAACGUGGGGAGGGGUGGGGUUAGCUGUGACACUACCAUGGCAGCACAGUCACCGAAGGGUGGCUGCUGAGGGAGCCUACACAGAAAGUGUUGUUUGGGUGUUGGGUUCUCUCCUUCAUGGUAUAACACAGGUUCUGCCAAUUACCUCUAAAGAUGGAUAUUUGAAAUUAAAAUGUUUGCUUGAACUCAAAAAUGUGAAAAACAG